rnacentral:rRNA from 1 species
UACGUAGGGUCCGAGCGUUGUCCGGAAUUAUUGGGCGUAAAGGGCUCGUAGGCGGUUCGUCACGUCGGGGAGUGAAAACUCGGAGCUUAACUCCGAGCCUGCUUCCGAUACGGGCAGACUAGAGGUAGGCAGGGGAGAGCGGAACUCCUGGUGUAGCGGUGGAAUGCGCAGAGUAUCAGGAAGAACACCGGUGGCGAAGGCGAGUCCCUGGACGAUACCUGACACUGAGGCACGAAAGCCAAGGGAGCAAACAGG